rnacentral:rRNA from 1 species
GACGAACGCUGGCGGCGUGCUUAACACAUGCAAGUCGAACGGAAAGGCCCUGCUUUUGUGGGGUGCUCGAGUGGCGAACGGGUGAGUAACACGUGAGUAACCUGCCCUUGACUUUGGGAUAACUUCAGGAAACUGGGGCUAAUACCGGAUAGGAGCUCCUGCUGCAUGGUGGGGGUUGGAAAGUUUCGGCGGUUGGGGAUGGACUCGCGGCUUAUCAGCUUGUUGGUGGGGUAGUGGCUUACCAAGGCUUUGACGGGUAGCCGGCCUGAGAGGGUGACCGGCCACAUUGGGACUGAGAUACGGACCAGACUCCUACAGGAGGCAGCAGUGGGGAAUAUUGCACAAUGGGCGGAAGCCUGAUGCAGCAACGCCGCGUGCGGGAUGACGGCCUUCGGGUUGUAAACCGCUUUCGCCUGUGACGAAGCGUGAGUGACGGUAAUGGGUAAAGAAGCACCGGCUAACUACGUG